AAUAAAUCAAUCUUUCACUUUUUACAUAUAAUGUUUGACUUCGUCUUAUUUAAAAAAAUUAUGAUUAAUAUUUUUGCUUUUAUUAGAUGAUAAAUCGUGAAUAGUACUUUAAGUGUAACUAAUUUUUUAAAAAUUUCUUGAAUUUUUUUCAAAUGAGACGGGUGGUCAGACAUUGGACACGAAAACU
rnacentral:pre_miRNA from 1 species